AUAGCUCGUAUGAAGGUUCGUCAAUGUGUUCCGGUUGACAGUGCAUUCAAGUUGUCACCGGAGCCCAUUGAUGCAGCAUUCCGAGCGUC
rnacentral:pre_miRNA from 1 species